ACGAGGGUAAGUGAUGACAGAUUUUCACAUUUCUUUAUUUAGUUAACUAUUAAAUAAGUAAAACAUUACAUUACAUUUAACCCAGCUUCUUUAUGUAACGUUAUGUCUGUGUUGCGUGUGGUAAUUGGAACAUCUUUAUUUUCUGACUAACGUUAGGCAUUUCUCUUAAGCAUUUCAGAAAUCAUUAAAACCUUUCAUUUUUUUUUAGCACAGCGACAUAAAUAUGACCAACCAGAUCCCAAGUAGACAGGAACAAAUGAAGAUAUAGCGCAUAGAAAGACUUAUUCUUGGUGAUCAACUGCUAUUGACAUUUUUUAAUCGGGGCAAAUGUGGAGUGAAGAAAAACGUUUGCAACACAUCCAUUCCAGAGUGCUCUGACAGAUAAAACUGACACGCUUGAUGAGGACACAGUCAAGCUUUAAAAGCCCGUGUGAUAAAGCAGUCUUCAAUUACUACGGUGUCUGAAUUGCAAGAAGAAGUGACCCUCCACUUAAAC